CGAGGGGCAGCGGGGUAGUGCUUGCACUACUGCCGGCGACCGGCGCACGGGUGAGUAACACGUAUGGAACCUGCCCGCAGCAGGGGGAUAAGCGGAAGAAAUUCCGUCUAAUACCGCGUAACAACGUUGGGAGGCAUCUCCCGAUGUUUAAAGAUUUAUCGGCUGCGGAUGGCCAUGCGGCGCAUUAGCUAGUCGGCGGGGUAACGGCCCACCGAGGCGACGAUGCGUAGGGGUUCUGAGAGGAAGGUCCCCCACACUGGUACUGAGACACGGACCAGACUCCUACGGGAGGCAGCAGUGAGGAAUAUUGGUCAAUGGCCGAGAGGCUGAACCAGCCAAGUCGCGUGAGGGAAGACGGCCCUACGGGUUGUAAACCUCUUUUGUCGGGGAGCAAAGCGAACCACGUGUGGUUCAUUGAGAGUACCCGAAGAAAAAGCAUUGGCUAACUCCGUGCCAGCAGCCGCGGUAAUACGGAGGAUGCGAGCGUUAUCCGGAUUUAUUGGGUUUAAAGGGUGCGCAGGCGGAGGUGCAAGUCAGCGGUCAAAUUGCGGGGCUCAACCCCGUACUGCCGUUGAAACUGCAUCCCUUGAGUGCGCGAGAAGUAUGCGGAAUGCGUGGUGUAGCGGUGAAAUGCAUAGAUAUCACGCAGAACUCCGAUUGCGAAGGCAGCAUACCGGCGCGCAACUGACGCUCAUGCACGAAAGCGUGGGUAUCGAACAGGAGUAGAUACCCUGGUAGUCCACGCAGUAAACG
rnacentral:rRNA from 1 species